UACGUAGGUGGCAAGCGUUGUUCGGAUUUACUGGGCGUAAAGGGCGCGUAGGCGGCAAUUCAAGUCAUCUGUGAAAUCUCCGGGCUUAACUCGGAACGGUCAGAUGAUACUGCUUUGCUAGAGUGCGGAAGGGGCAAUCGGAAUUCUUGGUGUAGCGGUGAAAUGCGUAGAUAUCAAGAGGAACACCUGAGGUGAAGACGGGUUGCUGGGCCGACACUGACGCUGAUGCGCGAAAGCGUGGGGAGCAAACAGG
rnacentral:rRNA from 1 species